AACGAACGCUGGCGGCAUGCCUAACACAUGCAAGUCGAACGAGACCUUCGGGUCUAGUGUCGCACGGGUGCGUAACGCGUGGGAACCUGCCCUUAGGUUCGGCAUAACUCCCCGAAAGGGGUGCUAAUACCGGAUAAUGUCUUCGGACCAAAGAUUUAUCGCCUUUGGAUGGGCCCGCGUUGGAUUAGCUAGUUGGUAGGGUAAAAGCCUACCAAGGCGACGAUCCAUAGCUGGUCUGAGAGGAUGAUCAGCCACACUGGGAGUGAGACACGGCCCAGACUCCUACGGGAGGCAGCAGUGGGGAAUAUUGGAAAAUGGGCGAAAGCAUGAUCCAGCAAUGCCGCGUGAGUGAUGAAGGCCUUAGGGUUGUAAAGCUCUUUUACCCGGGAUGAUAAUGACAGUACCGGGAGAAUAAGCUACGGCUAACUCCGUG
rnacentral:rRNA from 1 species